rnacentral:rRNA from 1 species
CACGUAGGGCGCAAGCGUUGUCCGGAAUUAUUGGGCGUAAAGAGCUCGUAGGCGGUCUGUUGCGUCUGCUGUGAAAACUCGGGGCUUAACCCCGAGCCUGCAGUGGAUACGGGCAGACUAGAGGUAGGUAGGGGGGAAUGGAAUUCCCGGUGUAGCGGUGAAAUGCGCAGAUAUCGGGAGGAACACCGGUGGCGAAGGCGGUUCUCUGGGCCUUACCUGACGCUGAGGAGCGAAAGCGUGGGGAGCGAACAGG